CAGAAAGGUGACAUGGUGAACACUCCCCAAAGAUAACUGGGCCCAGCACCAAACUCCAUGAAGUCCCCCAGGCACGUGCCACUGGCCAAGGUGUGAUUUAGGACCGCAACAAUACUCCAAUCCUCUUGUAAAAGCAAUGCCUGGCCAAGAGGGCAAACAUCACCACCACAGACAGAAGGGGAGGAAGAAGUGAAAACGGAAAGGAAGAAGACCUUGAGGGUGCAGCAUAAACGGCAGGAAUCUCCCAAGCCAUAGAAGAAAACACAGCCACGCCUGUGGUUUGAUGGUAAGCCAGAAUCCAGUGGAGGAGAUGGGAUGUACUUCCGUAUUCUGACUAUGACUGUGGAAGACAGGAUGAAUGGCGGAAGCAAUAAACAGGAGAAAAUGCCUUCCUUGAGGGCUGUCACUGUGGAACAAUGAGAGAAUCUUUACCAGAGGACCUGAAUUCUCCUGCUUCUGAAAACCGUCACGACACCCGCCCCUGGACACCUUGAGGAAUCGCUGGGCUUCACCUUACAUUCCUCUCACCAAAGAACGGACGCGGCACCGACAGCCAGAAAUAAAUAGCCCACUCCCA